rnacentral:other from 1 species
UAUCUGGGGUGUUCGACACUACCUGUUUAUUUUGAACCUACAUUUACUUUAAAAGGGAUUCUUAUAGCAAAGUCGGAUGUCAGGCCUCCGUUUGCAGUGGAAGGCAGAAAACUUUGUGCGGUUGCCCACCUAGCCUGGCUAGGAGUCAAAAGACAGGAAACGACAUUCCGGAU